rnacentral:rRNA from 1 species
UACGUAGGUGGCAAGCGUUGUCCGGAAUUAUUGGGCGUAAAGCGCGCGCAGGCGGUCUCUUAAGUCUGAUGUGAAAUCUCGCGGCUCAACCGUGAGCGGUCAUUGGAAACUGGGAGACUUGAGUGCAGAAGAGAAGAGCGGAAUUCCACGUGUAGCGGUGAAAUGCGUAGAGAUGUGGAGGAACACCAGUGGCGAAGGCGGCUCUUUGGUCUGUAACUGACGCUGAGGCGCGAAAAGCGUGGGGAGCGAACAGG